CCUACGGGAGGCAGCAGUGAGGAAUAUUGGUCAAUGGACGAGAGUCUGAACCAGCCAAGUAGCGUGAAGGAUGACUGCCCUAUGGGUUGUAAACUUCUUUUAUAUGGGAAUAAAAUGUUCCACGUGUGGGAUUUUGUAUGUACCAUAUGAAUAAGGAUCGGCUAACUCCGUGCCAGCAGCCGCGGUAAUACGGAGGAUCCGAGCGUUAUCCGGAUUUAUUGGGUUUAAGGGGAGCGUAGGUGGAUUGUUAAGUCAGUUGUGAAAGUUUGCGGCUCAACCGUAAAAUUGCAGUUGAAACUGGCAGUCUUGAGUACAGGAGAGGUGGGCGGAAUUCGUGGUGUAGCGGUGAAAUGCGUAGAUAUCACGAAGAACUCUGAUUGCGAAGGCAGUUCACUGGACUGUAACUGACACUGAGGCUCGAAAGUGUGGGUAUCAAACAGGAUUAGAUACCCUAGUAGUC
rnacentral:rRNA from 1 species